rnacentral:rRNA from 1 species
UUCCGGUUGAUCCUGCCGGACCUGACUGCUAUCGGAUUGAUACUAAGCCAUGCGAGUCAUUGUAGCAAUACAAGGCAGACGGCUCAGUAACGCGUAGUCAACCUAACCUAUGGACGGGAAUAACCUCGGGAAACUGAGAAUAAUGCCCGAUAGAACACUAUGCCUGGAAUGGUUUGUGUUCCAAAUGAUUUAUCGCCGUAGGAUGGGACUGCGGCCUAUCAGUUUGUUGGUGAGGUAAUGGCCCACCAAGACUAUUACAGGUACGGGCUCUGAGAGGAGUAGCCCGGAGAUGGGUACUGAGACACGGACCCAGGCCCUAUGGGGCGCAGCAGGCGAGAAAACUUUGCAAUGUGCGAAAGCACGACAAGGUUAAUCCGAGUGGUUUGUGCUAAACAGACCUUUUGUUAGUCCUAGAAACACUAACGAAUAAGGGGUGGGCAAGUUCUGGUGUCAGCCGCCGCGGUAAAACCAGCACCUCAAGUGGUCAGGAUGAUUAUUGGGCCUAAAGCAUCCGUAGCCGGCUCUGUAAGUUUUCGGUUAAAUCUGUAUGCUNCACAUACAGGCUGCCGGGAAUACUGCAGAGCUAGGGAGUGGGAGAGGUAGACGGUACUCGGUAGGAAGGGGUAAAAUCCUUUGAUC